rnacentral:piRNA from 1 species
CAGAGAGGAACACUGAGGUUUCCUGAUGGGU